rnacentral:lncRNA from 1 species
AUUAAACGAUUGCAGAAAAAUAAACAAAAAUAAAAGAAAUAAAAUGAAUAAGAACACGAGAACAGAGUAGAAAUAACUGGAGUCAACCUUUUUUGAUUUGCUUUUUCUUUUUCUUGAAUUCAAAAUGCUGUCUCUAAAAAAUGUACAGAGAUAUUGUUUGGCUUUUAUAGCCAAUUUACAUUGUAUUUUUUGGCUGUAUUCUAUUGCUUUGCACUAUCUGUUGCGUGCUCCGGCUUUUUCUGCCAUUUUGCAGGUGUUGAUGAAGCUAGGCACGGUGGGUGGCGAUGGGACAAGGCGAACGGCAGAGGGAUGGGUGCGGCGCUAGGUUUGGCUAGGGUUUCAUUUUCUGAAACCCUAGUUGGAUUUUUUUGGGGGGAAUCGGGCUCCGAAUUUGGGCCUCGGGUUUGGGUUGUAAUUGGGCUUGUGGGUUGGUGUUUGGGCUCUGUUAAUUGGGCCCGGGCAAUAAUUG